AUGUUUUUAACUUGUGAACAUGUUUUAAUUUGUUUUCAUCACAGGUAUUUUAAGUCACCUAUUGUCCAGACCUCAUCAACUGAAUAGCCUGUUGUGCUAAAAGUCCACCACAGAGAAGGCAGUGGUUAACGCUGAGUGGGCCUAAACAUCCGAUCCAUAAGCGAGGUGGAGUCAGAGCUGGGUUGACUACUUAGUGCACUGUGUGAGCAUCUCUGGCAGUAUUGGCAUCCACAUCUUGUUUUUAUUGUUGUGCUUGUGCAGCAAAUAAAAUUGCCCAAAGCCUGAUCUUUUUAACUGUUUAAAUAAAUCUUCCUUCCAGUCGAAACUCA